AGCGCGCGGGACUUUGAACUGCCAUCCCAAUGCUGCAGGCGAACGCAAUUUCCUCCGGCUUUACCGGCAGGCGAACCGAGGCUUAGGAAAGAGCCUUACCGAAAGCCACCCCCUAAUAAAUGGGAAUGCCAACUGGUGUACGACACAGGGAUUCCACAAUUCUAUGCAUGAUGCUGUGCUCACCACGUGUUGUCCACAACAAGGAUCUCGUGUCGUGGCCUGUGCCUCCCGGAAGACCGAGGGUCACAGAUGUACUAACCUCUUGUUUCAGCCUGGACCCAAUCAAGACAGUAGAAUCCACGUUGCUGAUUUCAGAUAGAGGACGCGAUGCAGGGAAGUGUUUCCACGGUGAUGGAGGGAGGAGGAAGAGGCAGGUGACUUUCUCGGUUCCCCGUUUCUCCCCGAGCCUGGUUACACGGCCCUUUCUCCAUGCUGAGAGAAGAACGAGGGGCAGGGUGGCCCCCACAGAUGUGCAUUCGGGUCUCUCUCAGUGGGGCUGGAGGCUGCACGGCCAGGGGUGGGCUUCAGUCUGUGACAUGCCACGGGUGGUUCUCCCAUUGCUUGACAACUUUUGAAUCAGUCACUCACAUUGAAAAAUCUGGAAAAUCUCAUAAAAAUCCCCAAUCUCCAACCUCUCUUUGAAAGUGGAGAUCCACCAGCCCUGGGCCUGCAUUUCCCCACUGCAGCAGGUGAAUGGAGCGCAUCCAGCUCGAUCGUGCCCUCUCCUGUCCGCCACGGCCUCCGCUGCUCCCUCUUCCAUCAUCCCUGGCCCACUUUGCUCACUUUGAUUUCCUGGCUGGUCCCUGAAAGCCUUUGCACUUAGGCCACUGGAUUCAUCAGAACACUUACAUUUUAUAAUGCGCUUUUUACAACUCCUGAUUUGAGGCCACAUUCCUCAAGCUGCAUUAAUCCACGAAGCCCCUUUGUGACUUGCUGUUUCCAGGUACCGGCCCCCUCUAUUUGCUUAAAACUUUAAAAUGUGUUCUUUUAUAAAGUAAAGGCCUAUUUUUUUAUGUUUCCUCAGCAGUAAUCCCCAUAAAACCAAGAGUUUGGUGUACUCAGCAGGGUUCC